AACGAACGCUGGCGGCGCGCUUAACACAUGCAAGUCGAACGAGAAGCUGUAGCAAUACAGUUGUAAAGUGGCAAACGGGUGAGUAAUGCGUGGGUAAUCUACCCUAGGGUGGGGAAUAACUCCUCGAAAGGGGAGCUAAUGCCGACAUGUGCGCCACUCUCGCAAGGGAGUGAUGGAAAGCCGUACCGUGGGUGCGGCGCCCAAGGAUGAGCUCACGUCCUAUCAGCUUGUUGGCGGGGUAACGGCCCACCAAGGCUGCGACGGGUAGCUGGUCUGAGAGGACGACCAGCCACACUGGCACUGCGACAC
rnacentral:rRNA from 1 species